GUCGUUUUUCCUCCUCUCUCUCACUUUCUUCAUUCAUCACAGCACUGGAAGGUAACUGGUCAUUUCUGAAGGAUGUCUUCAACAACAAAUGGACUUGGCUUGUUCUUUAUCUUGUUUCUAUGUCCUGUAACGUGUGUUGAGUUCCAUCAGUCUCCUUCCCUGAUAGUUAAAGAUGGGGGAGACGUGGAGAUUCACUGUAGCCAUAAUGACAAUAACCUGCCUGUGAUGUUGUGGUACCAACAGAAACAGGCCAGUUCUGCUCUGUCUCUGAUAGGGAACAAAUACAGAACCGGUGAACCUACUAACGAGCCUCAGUUCAAGGAGAGAUUCAAGCUGAACACAACAAAUGUUCUGAAUGGAUCUUUAGUUAUCUCCAGUCUGAUGGCAACAGACUCGGCUGUGUAUUUCUGUGCUGCCAGUUACACAGUGAUGUGGGUUCAUAUCAAUACCUGACGUAAAUCCUGAUGGGAGGAACACUUCUGUACACAACACGCACACAGGAAAUCCAGUCAGAUAUAAAAUACUGUGGUUAAUCCACCACAUGUCAAGUGUAGAAACUGCUUGAUUGGUGCUGUGGGAGGGGCAAGAGUCAGAACUGUUGUGUGAAGAUCACAAUUAACAGAAACACAAAUCCAGAAUGCAAGCCCGCCUGCUCAGUUGGCUUGGUUGGCUCACAACAACAUGCUUUCUGUUCAUAAGUCAGUGUGGAGCAGGAGGCCCCGUCGUGCUCCAGCCCAGAGACCUCUUCUCCUUUCCUGGUAACACCAGUACCUCCGGUCCGGUCAUCCUGACGUGCUCCAUGGGCCCUGGCAUCAGCAUGUCCAGCUACACCAUGUACUGGUACCGACAGGUCCGCUACGGUGGCCCGGUAGAGUUCCUCAUAAAGGAAUACGAUGCCCCUACGGGCCAGUACCAGGUGACCUUGGACCCGACAGGGAACAGCUUCGUCCUGCAGGUCUCAGACCUGGUUGUGGAGGACACUGCUGUUUACUACUGCGCAGCCAGUCACAGUAAAGCAACAGGCUGGGGGGCCAUACAAAUAUUUAAAUGUUUAUGUCUCUGUACUAUACUUGCCUGCCCGCCUGUCUACCUGUUUGCCUGCAUUUCUGUCUGCCAGUCUAUCUGUCUAACAGAUGGUGUAUCUGGCAGGAAGACGUUGUUAAAUGUGGUUCUUCUGGUUUGAGGAUAGACUGUCUCUAUAUUACAGUACAACAGACAGUAAAAGUAAAUAAUGUGCAACAUCCAUUCAUUAUACUCUUUCAAGAUCGACACAUGAAGCCAUGUAACCAUUAUUGUUUCAAGAUACCCCCAUGAAGCCGAAUAGUCCUUUACACUUACACUGUUUCAAGAUACCCCCAUGAAGCCGAAUAGUCCUUUACACUUACACUGUUUCAAGAUACCCCCAUGAAGCCGAAUAGUCCUUUACACUUACACUGUUUCAAGAUACCCCCAUGAAGCCGAAUAGUCGUUUACUGUUUCAAGACACCCACAUAGUCCUUCUCUGUUUCAAAACACCCCCAUGAAGCCAUAAGGACCUUUGCUGUUUCAAGAUCCCCAAUGAACGAAUUAAGCCAAAUCUAAUUAGUAAUCUGGCUUACCAAAGAGGUGUUUCAGACAGUAAGGAUAAACUUCAAACUAUAGAGCAAAAAAAACUCAUACGUAAGCCAAUGUUACAAUAUGAGAGAAAGAGGUGGAUGAAAAGAGAGAAAGGGGGAGGGAGAUGGAGAGGGAGAGAGAAAUGGAAAUAAGAGAGAUUGGGU
ensembl:lncRNA